rnacentral:rRNA from 1 species
GGAUUAGAUACCCUGGUAGUCCACGCCGUAAACGAUGAUAACUAGCUGUCCGGGCACAUGGUGUCUGGGUGGCGCAGCUAACGCAUUAAGUUAUCCGCCUGGGGAGUACGGUCGCAAGAUUAAAACUCAAAGGAAUUGACGGGGGCCUGCACAAGCGGUGGAGCAUGUGGUUUAAUUCGAAGCAACGCGCAGAACCUUACCAGCCUUUGACAUCCCGCGCUAUCCAGAGAGAUUUGGAGUUCCCUUCGGGGACGCGGUGACAGGUGCUGCAUGGCUGUCGUCAGCUCGUGCCG